CUUCUUAAAAGCUGGAGACUCAUAGUGAGGCUGGAGGUGAGUUUCACAGUAAGAGGCCAGACACACCAGGCAGGACUUGACAGCUUUGUGUUUUCUCCCAGUACAGAAAUCACACUCCACAUCUCCAGGUCCAGCGUAAUGGUCAGCAGGAGUAGCUGCUUGUAGUCCAGUCUUCUUCAGUUUUUCCACCACUUCAGCCAGUAUGGUGUUUCUUUUCAGAACAGGUCUGGGUAUGAAGGUCUCUCUGCACUGGGGGCAGCUGUAAACUCCAAGACAAUCUUCCUCAUCCCA